GACGAACGCUGGCGGCGUGCUUAACACAUGCAAGUCGAACGGUAAGGCCCUUCGGGGUACACGAGUGGCGAACGGGUGAGUAACACGUGGGUGAUCUGCCCUGCACUUCGGGAUAAGCUUGGGAAACUGGGUCUAAUACCGGAUAGGACCACGGUCUGCAUGGAUUGUGGUGGAAAGCUUUUGCGGUGUGGGAUGGGCCCGCGGCCUAUCAGCUUGUUGGUGGGGUGAUGGCCUACCAAGGCGACGACGGGUAGCCGGCCUGAGAGGGUGUCCGGCCACACUGGGACUGAGAUACGGCCCAGACUCCUACGGGAGGCAGCAGUGGGGAAUAUUGCACAAUGGGCGCAAGCCUGAUGCAGCGACGCCGCGUGGGGGAUGGACGGCCUUCGGGUUGUAAACCUCUUUCUAGCAGGGACGAAGGGUGACUGACGGUACCUGUAGAAGAAGCACCGACCAACUACGUGCCAGCAGCCGCGGUAA
rnacentral:rRNA from 1 species